UACGUAGGGUGCAAGCGUUGUCCGGAAUUAUUGGGCGUAAAGAGCUCGUAGGCGGUCUGUCGCGUCGGAUGUGAAAACCCAGGGCUCAACCCUGGGCCUGCAUUCGAUACGGGCAGACUAGAGUGAUGUAGGGGAGACUGGAAUUCCUGGUGUAGCGGUGAAAUGCGCAGAUAUCAGGAGGAACACCGAUGGCGAAGGCAGGUCUCUGGGCAUUAACUGACGCUGAGACGCGAAAGCGUGGGGAGCAAACAGG
rnacentral:rRNA from 1 species